CCACUUCCAGGCACCGUGGCUCAGGUGGUUCCAGUCACAGCGCCCCCCACAGUCCUGUAGGACCUGUACCGCCACUGCCCUCUGCUGACAAUAACAUGCAACAACAUCGACGGAGCACCGGAUUCACAAUCAAAAAUAUGAGGAAGAAAUCCAUCGAGGAGGAUUGGUGCACUCCUCCCACAAUCAGCAGCUCCAAUCGUCUGUCACGGUUUCUCCCCAGCUCAAUUCUGUACCAGGAGUACUGUGACGUUGCAAUCAACCGAGAAAUCCAGAGACAGCAGGGUGCUGAGGAGGAGGGGCUAAG